rfam:Schistosoma haematobium scaffold423_13, whole genome shotgun sequence.
CUCCAGCAGAUGAGUCCAAAAUAGGACGAAACACGCUUGCUGGAC